ensembl:lncRNA
GCUUUAUAAAACAGAGCAUUGAGUUUGUGUUCGUUUAAAGUGGUUCAUUCUACACAUCCUGUUCAAACCUCACACACACUGCUGUUCAUUCAUGUCAUUCCUCCAGCACUGAAGCAUCAACAUGAUAUUUACAGUGUGCUUGAUUUAUUUAGCAGCACCUCCAUUCUGGGUCUCAGGAGAAUCACUAAGUGAUCAAGUUCAUCAGAAUCCACCUCAUCUGAUAACAAAUGCUGAGAAAACAGUUCAGCUCAGCUGUUCUCACACCAUUACAGGCUAUAGAAUGAUAUUAUGGUAUCAGCAGCUGAAGGGUGACAGUGCACUAAAUCUUAUUGGAUAUGUGAAUUACAAAGAUCCAACCACUGAAAACCAUAAAACUCAGUUUGCCAUCGGAGGAAAUGGUGCAGAAUCCUCUACUCUUAACAUUACAUUAAAAAAGGAACAUGUUGGGAGUACUGCAGUAUAUUACUGUGCUGCCAGUAGAGCACAGUGUGGAAGAUCCUUUAAUCACUCUUACAAAAACCUUCUGUUAAACCCUGUCACCACAACAUUAUUAGCACCUGAAUGCACCCAUGCACCCCCAAACAUGAUCACUCAGUGCACCCAUAUUAAGUUGUUGUAUGAUUAAUAUUAUACGCUAUUAUGUCUCUAAGCAUUUAAUUCAUAUAUACAAUUAUAAAUUUUAUUGUUUUUAAAAUGAUUUCAUAUAUAAUUCAGCUGUCUCCAUUGCUGUUAAUUGCUUGCCUUAUCCGUUACUUAUUAUUCUUUGUAUUUUUUAAAGUGUAAAGUGAAAUUGAUGAUGCAGUCACUGUAAUUCUUAUCAUGCAUCUACAAAGUACAUGCGUUCAAUAAUUAAUUAAUUAUUAUUUUUUUUUUUGAAUGAGGGACUAAUCUAUUCCAGCAUUAUAUGUCCAUUCCAUUAGAUGUCCUCACAGAAAACUAUAGCUACUGAGUUUCUUGUCUCAUAAAAACUAAAAUCUUCUUCUAUUAUGUAAACAAAAAUAACUUAUUUAAAUAGUUUUUUAUUUAUUUAUUUAUUUUUUAAGAAUCAUUGAGACUAAUUGUUUUUAAUUAAAAUCCCUUCCUCGUUUUCUCUCCUUGCUUUACAGAUUUGGGAUUAAAGCAAUCACCUCAUCUCUUUGUAACUGAGGAUCUUAAUGUGACCCAAAAGUGUUCCUAGAUUGGAACAUCACAUAACAGCAUGUACUGGUUCAGAAAAACACCCACUGAACCUUUGGAGCAGUGCAUUUCUACAUUAAAACAGAAAACUGGGAGAAGGAUUUUAAGCAGAGAGCAUCAGCUGUGAGCCGUAACCCAAUCUAUAACCUCAACAAAAGCAUGCAGAUUCACAUCUAACUCCUGCUCAUCUGUCAAUGAAUGAAAUUCUACAUUACUAUAGGGAUGAGUGGAUAAUGUAUUUCUAUACAUUUUAGUAUUUUUAAGUUAGUUCAUUCACAUAAUUGAAACUAUUCCCACAUGUAAAGAAAAAAAAUCUAAACAUGUUUUAGCUCAUUAACCUACAAGUAGUCUAAUUUAUGAUUUAUGAACUUAAUUUAGAGUCCUUUAGAGUUGAUUUGUUGAAUUCGUUUUAUUAUAACCAGUAGGGGUCUCCUUUGAGGCUAAAUAAAGUUACUGAUCACGUGGAGGGAAACAGGCUUCAAAAAACAGAGCAUUGAGUUUGUAUUCGUUUAAAGUGGUUCAUUCUACACGUCCUGUUCAGACCUCACACACACUGCUGUUCAUUCAUGUCAUUCCUCCAGCACUGAAGCAUCAACAUGAUAUUUAUAGUGUGUUUCAUUUAUUUAACAGCACCUCCAUUCUGGGUCUCAGGUAAAAAAUAUUUAAUUGUUUAUUGU